GGAAUCUUGCACAAUGGGGGAAACCCUGAUGCAGCGACGCCGCGUGAGCGAUGAAGCCCUUCGGGGUGUAAAGCUCUUUCGGCAGGGACGAUAGUGACGGUACCUGCAGAAGAAGCUGUGGCUAACUACGUGCCAGCAGCCGCGGUAAUACGUAGGCAGCGAGCGUUGUUCGGAGUUACUGGGCGUAAAGCGUGCGUAGGCGGUGGUCCACGUCGGGUGUGAAAUCUCCCGGCUUAACCGGGAGGGUGCGCCGGAAACUGGGCCGCUGGAGUGCGGGAGAGGCAAGCGGAAUUCCUGGUGUAGCGGUGAAAUGCGUAGAUAUCAGGAGGAACACCCGUGGUGUAGACGGCUUGCUGGACCGCCACUGACGCUGAGGCACGAAAGCGUGGGUAGCAAAC
rnacentral:rRNA from 1 species